rnacentral:lncRNA from 1 species
AUCCAUUUUGACCCCUUUAUAAAUAGAGAUAAGCGAAGAUCCCACCAGGUAUGCUUAGACAAUCUCUCUCUAAACCCAGAGACUCUACUCUUUUUUUAUACGCUAUCUUGAGCGACGGAGGGUCCUCGCCGGAGUCACCUCCAGCGGGAUUUAUUUUGCAGAUCUUUCUUCCAUUUUCGUCGAGCGGAGCUCAGCACCAUCUCAAUCUAAGCUCUAUCUUUGCCUUUCGUCUUAGCUUUGAUUGUGUGCGGCUUCUCCA